GAUCCCAUGUAGAACUGCAGUGGUUAUUGCAAAAUAGAAAUGGACCUGGGCUGCAGUAAUUAGACCUGAUACAUAUGCACAGGGGGUUUGGAUGAAGUGAGGAGACCAUCAGUGAAAUCACCCUAUACUGUGCUAUGGUUCAGGAUGUCCAGCCCUAUGAAUGGAUUAAGGUGUAGUGGAACAUGAAGGCAAUUCCAAGUGUUGUUGAGGAACUGAAGAACAGUUCUUGCUAAGAGUCAUCCACAAGUAACAAGCCUGGGAUGUAUUUGAGCAAACAGAUGGCUUUGUAUGGCAUAAUAACCAGCAUUCAGCAUGAGCAAAACAAGCAGCUGUUUGGGGCCCUGCCCCUGGAUGCUCCACAUCCCAUGCAAGCUCUGAAAUUCACAAGUUGACCCUUGUGGGACUGCAGGGGGAAGAAACAAUCAGAUGCCUGAUCCCAUCCAGCAAAAGGAGUAGAAAGAGGAAGCAACCUAGGACUUGAUUUCUCCCCUUCUGGGAGCCUGGGGCAUCACUUUUGCUUGGGUAUCAGCCUUUCCAUUUGUGAAUCAGUUUGUUAAUUUAAAUUGUUUUUGCUGUUGCUGAGGUAAGAAAAAAAUUGCCAAACUACAUAACAUUCAAAACACCCUAUAAACAGUGCAGAAACCUUAAAAUCCCAUCUGCUGUGCAGGUGCAUUCCAUUGAAUAACAUUGAGAGCUGGUCAAUACACCUCCACAAACAAGCAGGAGAAGCAGGAUGUUAUGGCCCAAGACUGUAAAGAGUUACUCCUGGGGGAAUUCUGCGCUACUGCAUGCAUGCAUAAUUAAUGAGUUGUGCAUAUUUAUUUUUUU